rnacentral:rRNA from 1 species
GAUGGACGCUGGCGGCGUGCCUAAUACAUGCAAGUCGAGCGAACAGACGAGGAGCUUGCUCCUCUGACGUUAGCGGCGGACGGGUGAGUAACACGUGGAUAACCUACCUAUAAGACUGGGAUAACUUCGGGAAACCGGAGCUAAUACCGGAUAAUAUAUUGAACCGCAUGGUUCAAUAGUGAAAGACGGUUUUGCUGUCACUUAUAGAUGGAUCCGCGCCGCAUUAGCUAGUUGGUAAGGUAACGGCUUACCAAGGCAACGAUGCGUAGCCGACCUGAGAGGGUGAUCGGCCACACUGAACUGAGACACGGUCCAGACUCCUACGGGAGGCAGCAGUAGGGAAUCUUCCGCAAUGGGCGAAAGCCUGACGGAGCAACGCCGCGUGAGUGAUGAAGGUCUUCGGAUCGUAAAACUCUGUUAUUAGGGAAGAACAAAUGUGUAAGUAACUAUGCACGUCUUGACGGUACCUAAUCAGAAAGCCACGGCUAGCUACGUG